UACGGGGGGGGCGAGCGUUGUUCGGAAUUAUUGGGCGUAAAGGGCGCGUAGGCGGUGUGGCAAGUCAGGUGUGAAACCUCCAGGCUCAACUUGGAGCUUGCAUCUGAAACUGCCGUGCUAGAGUGUGGGAGAGGAGAGUGGAAUUCCUGGUGUAGCGGUGAAAUGCGUAGAUAUCAGGAGGAACACCGGUGGCGAAGGCGACUGCCUGGACCAGCACUGACACUGAGGCACGAAAGCGUGGGGAGCAAACAGG
rnacentral:rRNA from 1 species